UCAACCUUCAAAACAAAAAAGGUUUAAAAACUCUCUCAACCUCUUUUAUGUCCGGCCCAACUCCGGCCGUGGUCCAAUCAUAAGACCGACGUCGUCCACCGCGCCGGCCACCAUACACGGUGGCCAAAAAUCGAAAGAAGGUUGGGGAAGAAGUCAACGAGGUAGGUGGCCAUUUUGGUGCUAGCGGGCUAGGGGAGCCAACCCUCGAGCGAAGAACGUGCAGACGAGGCACGUGGGCGAUAGCAGGGAGGCACGACGCUAAAGGGUGGCUAAGGUUUCCUUUGCUGAAACUAGUUUAGGUAGUGGGCUUAUCGGGCUUAGGGUUAUUUUAAUUUUGGGCCUAUUGGGUUGUAAUUUUGGCUGGGUUUAAUUGUGUUUGAUGUUUGAGUUGAUUUAAUGGGCUUAUUUAUGGUUUAGUGGGCCGGGUAAAAUUUGGACUGUACAGCUGCCCCUCUUUGCUUGUUAUCGUGUAACGAGAAUAGAGCAAAGACUUUUAAAAAAAGAUCAAAUUUGCCCGGUCUUCUUGAGUCUUGGCUUCUUCGGUUUAAAUGCCAAUUAAGACUCAAGUCUUGGUCAACUCGUCGUACCUAUGGAAGUUAAGAUAUGUGGGAUUUUCUUUUUGAGAAAAUAUAAGUGGUUUAGUUUUGGCCACAUUAUCAGUUUCUCUUUCUUCUCAUGCUUAACUUCUGUCAAUAUUUUGGAACCACUUGUGUUUGUUUAAGGUUAAAUUUUGCUCUUAGUCCCUGUACUUUAUGAAAGUUGUAAAUUUAGUUCUUGUAUUUUAAUUUGAUUAA